rnacentral:snRNA from 1 species
GUGCUCGCUUCGGCAGCACGUAUACUAAAAUUGGAAAGAUAUAGAGAAGGUUAGCAUGGCCCCUGCGCAAGGAUGACAUGCAAACUCAUGAAGCAUUCCAUAUUUAA